rnacentral:rRNA from 1 species
UCCAGACUCCUACGGGAGGCAGCAGUGGGGAAUAUUGGGCAAUGGGCGCAAGCCUGACCCAGCAACGCCGCGUGAAGGAAGAAGGCUUUCGGGUUGUAAACUUCUUUUGACAGGGAAGAGUAGAAGACGGUACCUGUCGAAUAAGCCACGGCUAACUACGUGCCAGCAGCCGCGGUAAUACGUAGGUGGCAAGCGUUGUCCGGAUUUACUGGGUGUAAAGGGCGUGUAGCCGGGUUGACAAGUCAGAUGUGAAAUCCGGGGGCUCAACCCCCGAACUGCAUUUGAAACUGUUGGUCUUGGGUAUCGGAGAGGCAGGCGGAAUUCCUAGUGUAGCGGUGAAAUGCGUAGAUAUUAGGAGGAACACCAGUGGCGAAGGCGGCCUGCUGGACCGUGACUGACGUUGAGGCUCGAGAGCGUGGGGAGCAAACAGGAUUAGAUACCCCAGUACCA